GACGAACGCUGGCGGCGUGCCUAAUACAUGCAAGUCGAGCGCAGGAAACUGACGGAACUCUUCGGAGGGAAGGCAGCGGAAUGAGCGGCGGACGGGUGAGUAACACGUAAGGAACCUGCCUCAAGGAUUGGGAUAACUCCGAGAAAUCGGAGCUAAUACCGGAUAGUUCAUCGGACCGCAUGGUCCGUUGAUGAAAGGCGCUUCGGCGUCACCUUGAGAUGGCCUUGCGGUGCAUUAGCUAGUUGGUGGGGUAACGGCCCACCAAGGCGACGAUGAAAAGCAGAGAUGGGAGGGUGGUCGGCACCACUGGUACUGGGACCAGGACCAGACUCCGACGGGAGGCAGCAGUAGGGAAUGUUCCACAAUGGACGAAAGUCUGAUGGAGCAACGCCGGGUGAGUGAUGAAGGUUUUCGGAUCGUAAAACUCUGUUGUAAGGGAAGAACACGUACGAGAGGGAAUGCUCGUACCUUGACGGUACCUUACGAGAAAGCCACGGCUAACUACGUGCCAGCCGCCGCUGUAAAAC
rnacentral:rRNA from 1 species